rnacentral:lncRNA from 1 species
AUAUCCUGAUUUCGUUUUUUUUAUUUCCAUUAUCCCCCUAUUAACUCUCUAUUAAAAUAUAUAGAAAAAAACUUCAGAUGCCUCUGUGGUUUAUCGAAUAUUUACUUUACUAUCUUAUAGUUUACGAUAUCUUUAUUUUAGUAUCUUAUAGUUUUAACUUUCUCAUUAAUUUAACGAAAAAAUUAACAGAGUGGAUAACGAAAAGAGAAAAGCGAAAUUACAGGGUACUAAAGUGAAACAGUUUAAAGCACUAAAAUUAAAAAGUGCUGAACCACAGGGUGAUAUUUGAAGUUUUUUUUGUUAUAAUAAGUUG